rnacentral:rRNA from 1 species
UUUUAUUUGAGAGUUUGAUCCUGGCUCAGGAUGAACGCUGGCGGCGUGCCUAACACAUGCAAGUUGAGCGAUUUACUUCGGUAAAGAGCGGCGGACGGGUGAGUAACGCGUGGGUAACCUACCCUGUACACACGGAUAACAUACCGAAAGGUAUGCUAAUACGGGAUAAUAUAUUUGAGAGGCAUCUCUUGAAUAUCGAAGGUGAGCCAGUACAGGAUGGACCCGCGUCUGAUUAGCUAGUUGGUAAGGUAACGGCUUACCAAGGCGACGAUCAGUAGCCGACCUGAGAGGGUGAUCGGCCACAUUGGAACUGAGACACGGUCCAAACUCCUACGGGAGGCAGCAGUGGGGAAUAUUGCACAAUGGGCGAAAGCCUGAUGCAGCAACGCCGCGUGAGUGAUGAAGGCCUUCGGGUCGUAAAACUCUGUCCUCAAGGAAGAUAAU